rnacentral:rRNA from 1 species
CUCGUCUUUAGUUCCAGCAGGUUAAGCUGGCACUCUAAAGAGACUGCCUUCGCAAGGAGGAGGAAGGUGAGGACGACGUCAAGUCAUCAUGGCCCUUAUGGCUAGGGCUACACACGUGCUACAAUGGGGCGUACAGAGUGUUGCGAUACCGCGAGGUGGAGCUAAUCACUUAAAGCGUCUCUCAGUUCGGAUUGGAGUCUGCAACUCGACUCCAUGAAGCUGGAAUCACUAGUAAUCGUAGAUCAGCAAUGCUACGGUGAAUACGUUCCCGGGUCUUGUACUCACCGCCCGUCACACCAUGGGAGUUGAUUUC